rnacentral:rRNA from 1 species
ACCCUUUAAUGUUUGAUGUUCUAACGUGGACCCGUUACCCGGGUUGCGGACAGUGUCUGGUGGGUAGUUUGACUGGGGCGGUCUCCUCCUAAAGAGUAACGGAGGAGCACGAAGGUUGGCUAAUCCUGGUCGGACAUCAGGAGGUUAGUGCAAUGGCAUAAGCCAGCUUGACUGCGAGCGUGACGGCGCGAGCAGGUGCGAAAGCAGGUCAUAGUGAUCCGGUGGUUCUGAAUGGAAGGGCCAUCGCUCAACGGAUAAAAGGUACUCCGGGGAUAACAGGCUGAUACCGCCCAAGAGUUCAUAUCGACGGCGGUGUUUGGCACCUCGAUGUCGGCUCAUCACAUCCUGGGGCUGAAGUAGGUCCCAAGGGUAUGGCUGUUCGCCAUUUAAAGUGGUACGCGAGCUGGGUUUAGAACGUCGUGAGACAGUUCGGUCCCUAUCUGCCGUGGGCGCUGGAGAACUGAGGGGGGCUGCUCCUAGUACGAGAGGACCGGAGUGGACGCAUCACUGGUGUUCGGGUUGUCAUGCCAAUGGCACUGCCCGGUAGCUAAAUGCGGAAGAGAUAAGUGCUGAAAGCAUCUAAGCACGAAACUUGCCCCGAGAUGAGUUCUCCCUGAGACUUAGAGUCUCCUGAAGGAACGUUGAAGACGACGACGUUGAUAGGCCGGGUGUGUAAGCGCAGC